CCUCGGCUGAGCCCUGGGGAGUCUGCACCAUGGCCUGCACCCCGCUCCUCCUCCUCCUCACCCUCCUCCAGUGCACAGGGUCCCUGUCCCAGCCUGUGCUGACUCAGUCAUCCUCUGCGUUGGCCACCCUGGGAGCCUCGGCCAAGCUCACCUGCACUCUGAGCUCUGAGCAUAGCGACUACACCAUUGACUGGUAUCAGCAGCACCCAGGGAAGGCCCCUCGGUACCUGCUGUAUCUUGAGAGUGAUGGAAGCUAUGAAAAGGGGACCGGGGUCCCUGAUCGCUUCUCAGGCUCCAGCUCUGGGGCUGACCACAACUUGAUCAUCUCCAGCAUCCAGGCUGAGAAUGAAGCCGACUACAUCUGUGGUGUAGUUUCUCUCAUUGAUGGAUUGCAUAGUUAA